CCCUUAGAUGUUCUGGGCCGCACGCGCGCUACACUGAUACGCUCAACGAGCUCCUUGGCCGAAAGGUCCGGGUAAUCUUUGAAAUCGUAUCGUGAUGGGGAUAGAACAUUGCAAUUUUUGUUCUUCAACGAGGAAUGCCUAGUAAGCGCGAGUCAUCAUCUCGCGUUGAUUACGUCCCUGCCCUUUGUACACACCGCCCGUCGCACCUACCGAUUGAAUGGUCCGGUGAAAUCUUGGGAUUUUGUUUUGUUUGCAUUUAUUUGUAUCGAGACGAGAGAACUUGAGUAAACCUUACCAUUUAGAGGAAGGUGAAGUCGUAACA
rnacentral:rRNA from 1 species